rnacentral:rRNA from 1 species
GGCGGCGUGCUUAACACAUGCAAGUCGAACGAAGAAGCCAGCUUUGCUGGUGGAUUAGUGGCGAACGGGUGAGUAACACCUGGGUGAUCUGCCCCAAACUUUGGGAUAAGCCUGGGAAACUGGGUCUAAUACCGAAUAUGACCGAUACUGGCAUGGGUGUUGGUGGAAAGCUCCGGCGGUUUGGGAUGGGCCCGCGGCCUAUCAGCUUGUUGGUGGGGUAAUGGCCUACCAAGGCGACGACGGGUACCCGGCCUGAGAGGCCGACCGGCCACACUGGGACUGAGACACGGCCCAGACUCCUACGGGAGGCAGCAGUGGGGAAUUUUGCACAAUGGGCGCAAGCCUGAUGCAGCGACGCCGCGUGAGGGAUGACGGCCUUCGGGUUGUAAACCUCUUUCACCAGGGACGAAGCGAAAGUGACGGUACCUGGAGAAGAAGCACCGGCCAACUACGUGCCAGCAGCCGCGGUAAUACGUAGGGUGCGAGCCGUUGUCCGGAAUUACUGGGCGUAAAGAGCUCGUAGGCGGUUUGUCGCGUCGUUCGUGAAAACUUGGGGCUUAACUCCAAGCGUGCGGGCGAUACGGGCAGACUUGAGUACUACAGGGGAGACUGGAAUUCCUGGUGUAGCGGUGAAAUGCGCAGAUAUCAGGAGGAACACCGGUGGCGAAGGCGGGUCUCUGGGUAGUAACUGACGCUGAGGAGCGAAAGCGUGGGUAGCGAACAGGAUUAGAUACCCUGGUAGUCCACGCCGUAAACGGUGGGUACUAGGUGUGGGUUCCUUUUCACGGGAUCCGUGCCGUAGCUAACGCAUUAAGUACCCCGCCUGGGGAGUACGGCCGCAAGGCUAAAACUCAAAGGAAUUGACGGGGGCCCGCACAAGCGGCGGAGCAUGUGGAUUAAUUCGAUGCAACGCGAAGAACCUUACCUGGGUUUGACAUACUCCAGAAAGCCAUACAGAUAUGGCCCCCCUUGUGGUUGGUGUACAGGUGGUGCAUGGCUGUCGUCAGCUCGUGACGUGAGAUGUUGGGUUAAGUCCCGCAACGAGCGCAACCCUUGACCUGUGUUGCCAGCAGGUAAUGGUGGGGACUCGCAGGAGACUGCCGGGGUCAACUCGGAGGAAGGUGGGGAUGACGUCAAAGUCAUCAUGCCCCUUAUGUCCAGGGCUUCACACAUGCUACAAUGGCGGGUACAGAGGGCUGCGAUACCGUGAGGUGGAGCGAAUCCCUUAAAGCCGGUCACAGUUCGGAUCGGGGUCUGCAAGUCGACCCCGUGAAGUCGGAGUCGCUAGUAAUCGCAGAUCAGCAACGCUGCGGUGAAUACGUU